UGGGGAAUUUUGGACAAUGGGCGAAAGCCUGAUCCAGCAAUGCCGCGUGUGUGAAGAAGGCCUUCGGGUUGUAAAGCACUUUUGUCCGGAAAGAAAUCCUUGGCUCUAAUACAGUCGGGGGAUGACGGUACCGGAAGAAUAAGCACCGGCUAACUACGUGCCAGCAGCCGCGGUAAUACGUAGGGUGCAAGCGUUAAUCGGAAUUACUGGGCGUAAAGCGUGCGCAGGCGGUUUGCUAAGACCGAUGUGAAAUCCCCGGGCUCAACCUGGGAACUGCAUUGGUGACUGGCAGGCUAGAGUAUGGCAGAGGGGGGUAGAAUUCCACGUGUAGCAGUGAAAUGCAUAGAGAUGUGGAGGAAUACCGAUGGCGAAGGCAGCCCCCUGGGCCAAUACUGACGCUCAUGCACGAAAGCGUGGGGAGCAAACAGGAUUAGAUACCCUGGUAGUCCACGCCCUAAACGAUGUCAACUAGUUGUUGGGGAUUCAUUUCCUUAGUAACGUAGCUAACGCGUGAAGUUGACCGCCUGGGGAGUACGGUCGCAAGAUUAAAACUCAAAUGAAUUGACGGGGUCAUAGCUGUUUCC
rnacentral:rRNA from 1 species